rnacentral:rRNA from 1 species
UACGGAGGAUGCGAGCGUUAUCCGGAUUUAUUGGGUUUAAAGGGUGCGUAGGCGGGAUGCCAAGUCAGCGGUAAAAAUGCGGUGCUCAACGCUGUCGAGCCGUUGAAACUGGCGUUCUUGAGUGGGCGAGAAGUAUGCGGAAUGCGUGGUGUAGCGGUGAAAUGCAUAGAUAUCACGCAGAACUCCGAUUGCGAAGGCAGCAUACCGGCGCCCUACUGACGCUGAGGCACGAAAGCGUGGGUAUCGAACAGG